AAUUAUAUUAUUUAGUUACGGCAGCUUGUCAUAGAACGGUCGUCAUAAUAUACAAACACACUGCAGUAAUAACACUGUAUAAUAACCGGUACGACGUAACUUUAAAAACUAUAAAAAUGUAAAUGUAAUCAUUCUUUAAGUGGCCCGACAAGGUUUGAUUGGGCCAGUGGAGUACCGGGAAAAUUGCCGAUGGUCUGCCACAUUUUAUAUAUUUUAAAACAGAAAUGUCAUACUUGUGGCCAUCAUCAUUGGGCCACGCAACGGCCGUCCACGAACAAAAGUCGCCGGACCGUAAUUCGACGACCUACUGUUUCUGUGAUUCCGGUACAAUAUAUUUCCAUUUCCGGCCUAAAACAUUUAAAGUAGUAAAUAUGAAAACCCGGGGAAAAAACAUGAGAAAAACGAGAAAAUCGGUACAUUAAACGAAUAAUAUUAAAACAAUUAUAUAAUGCCUAUUUAAUUAUUUUACCAUAAUAUGGCAAACAUAUUUUUGACUAAGCUUCACUAUAUCAACUAUACUCCGCUAAGAAUCGUUUUUUUGUUAGAAAUGGUUUAUAGGUAUACAUAAAAUGAUCUGUACUGGUGGCUGCAUCCAUUUCCAUUAUCCUAGGACAGCCUUUUUAAAGACUGUAUUCUAAAUUAAUAUAGUAACUACCUCAAAGACGUAAUUUUGGAUUUUCCCAGAGGGACUAAAUUAGUAUAUUUGUUUUUUUUUUUUUUGUAUAAAUUAAAUUAAAACAAUUUAAAAAAUAUAUAACCAAU